rnacentral:snoRNA from 1 species
UCCCUCUCAGGGUCAUACCUGGAGAGUUUCCAGUACUCUGCCAGUCUUGGCUAUGGGAGGAAGAGUGAAGCAGAGGCAUACCCAUGCCAUUCUUAGCUUGGGCAGUGGUUAGCGAGUGGAAGGCAAUCUGCUACCAAG